AGUUUUUAUAAAACAACUAAGGUAAUUACUUGACAAUUUGCUUGGUAUCUCCGAUCCUUUUCAAAUUUCCAUAUAUUGAAAAGCUUCUUAAAAGUUAAAAUAUUAUUUAAAAAAGUAUCACAAACAAUUCUAAUUAUGUACAAAAUUUUGCCUAACACUGCCUACCAAUAACAACAAUGCGAUUAUCGGAUUUUCUAAAUCUAUGACCGAAGUUCAUUUAUUACGGAGUUGUCUGGCAACUUUUCGAUAAGCGUUGACUUGUUGAAACGAAUCUAUUUUUCCUACGAUCUUUGUGACUGCAUUUAAUUCAUCUACAAUAUUUCGUCAUUUUUCAAUAUGUUAGUUCAUAUGUUCAUUAUCACACAUAUAAUACAUAUAUUACAGUACUUUGAUUACAGAAGGACAAGCAACUAAAAACUACUAACAGACCUCAGAAGUAAAGUCAAACUGGUUUAUAAUAUAUAAUAGAAAUAGAAUAUUGUUAGAGUAUAUAUUUAUAUGUAUUACUUAACGCUUUCACUAUCACCGUUUAAGGAAAAAGUCACUGUUCACAGCUCAACAUUGAAAAUUUUAAAAUUUUACAUAAUGUGACAUAUAUUUUUACAUAUAUAGUAAUAAAAGCUGCUAAGUAGACAACGCGAUUCUUAGAAUCGUGCACAUAUGUGUAACGCUGAGCUGUGAGUAGAUUGCUUCUUACUGUAAACCACUUGUCACACAUAUCUAGAAAUGUGAAGUAUUGUAUUGUUACCUAUUUAACGCACACGAUGCUACUGAGACAAAGUCAAUAUACGAGUUUCGACGACGGACUCAACAAGGACGGAAACCUCCAUGUUUACAUAUUUCUGUCGACCGUUCGAGCGAUUUUCGAGUGUCAUGUUACAGUGUGGCUAUUUGUACAAAAUCUGAUAUUCUAUGUGUUCCAAACAAUUUUAUGUACAAUCUUUGUCAAUCGAGAAGAAAAAUUUAAAAUAAAUAAAAACAAUGUGUUGCAAUAUUGGAUUAGUGAUAAUUUGUCGAUGCUAUAAUAAAUAUAAAUAGUAUCCGAAACGAAAAUAAAUAAGAUUUAUCUUGAAUGAAAUUGAAACACAAUAUACGUAACAUACGGUUACGAACGGGAAUAUUGGCACACCGUUAAAGAGUGAAUAACUUUUUUUAUAUUGAAUCGAACGACUCGAGCCUUUUUGAGAAGUUAAGAAGGUUAGUUUAUCAG